rnacentral:rRNA from 1 species
UACGGAGGGUGCAAGCAUUAAUCGGAUUUACUGGGCGUAAAGGGCGCGUAGGCGGGAAGGAAAGUCAAAUGUGAAAUUCCGGUGCUCAACAUCGGAACUGCAUUUGAAACUCCCUUUCUUGAGGGUAGACGGAGAAAGCGGAAUUCCAGGUGUAGUGGUGAAAUGCGUAGAUAUCUGGAAGAAUACCAGUUGCGAAGGCGGCUUCUUGGUCCGUUUCUGACACUAAGGCGCGAAAGCGUGGGUAGCAAAC